rnacentral:rRNA from 1 species
AAGGGCACCACAAGAACGCGUGGAGCAUGUGGCUUAAUUUGACUCAACACAGGAAAUCUUACCGGGUCCGGACACACUGAGGAUUGACAGACAACCGAGUAUUACUCAUUGAGUGAUACGGAAAGAAGCUAGUUCUUUCAUGAUUAUGUGAUAGGUGGUGCAUGGCCGUUCUUAGUUCGUGGAGUGAUCUGUCUGCUUAAUUGCGCGUUCACUCGGCUCUAACGUAUUCUGAUUACACACCUUCAUUGGUGGUAUGUUGAGUGCAGAGCCUGACGGCAACGAACGUGAUCGCUACCUCUAGUUGUGUUUAUAUAGUGUGCGUAUCUCAUGGUACGUAUGCUCGAACGCUUACUAGAGGAACCGCUGCUUCAUUCUUUAAACCAGAGGAAGGUUGCGGCAAUAACAGGUCUGUGAUGCCCUUAGAUGUUCCGGGCUGCACACGUGCUACAAUGAUCAUUGCAGUGAGUAUCUCACCGAGUCUAUCGGCAGUGCUACGUUCAUUCGAUACUUCGUAUUGAGUGUGUGUAAGCGCGCGAUAUGACCUGCUUUGAGAGUUUAGCGGGUAAGCAAUUAGAAGUAUUGAUUACACACACACAGCGCAUAUCACAUCGUAUCGUGGGUUCGUACCCGUAUGUAUAUCUCGUAUAUAUAUAUCGUGCGUAUGGAUUCGUGGUACAUGCGCACUACUCAAAUUCAUGGUGGGGACAGACCAUUGUUAAUUGUUGGUCUCGGUCUUAACUAGGAAUGCCUUGUACGAGUGGUUCAACAGACCACCCGGAAUACGUCCCUGCCCUUUGUACACACCGCCCAUCGCUCUUACCGAUGGACAUCUCUGUGAGUUUGAGGGACUUAACGUGUAUUAUAUCAUCUGAUGUGAUACGCACCAUGGAAACUUAUACGAAUAGAGUGGUCUAAAGGAAAGAGAAGUCGAACAAGGCA